rnacentral:misc_RNA from 1 species
GUGCAAGUCGUUUUGCUAGAGCUACAUGUUCACUGCCGUGUAGGCAGCUAAGAAAAUCA